UACGUAGGUGGCAAGCGUUGUCCGGAUUUACUGGGUGUAAAGGGUGCGCAGGCGGACUUAUAAGUCAGGGGUGAAAUCUCGCUGCUCAACAGCGAAACUGCCUUUGAUACUGUAGGUCUUGAAUUAGGGAGAGAUUCGUGGAAUUCCGAGUGUAGCAGUGAAAUGUGUAGAUAUUCGGAAGAACACCAGAGGCGAAGGCAGCGAAUUGGCCCUAUAUUGACGCUCAGGCACGAAAGCAUGGGGAUCAAACAGG
rnacentral:rRNA from 1 species